GCCUGACAUACACCCCGCCGCUGGCCAACUAUCUGCUCUCCCGGGAGCACAGCCAGGCCUGUCACCAACAAGGCUUCUGCAUGAUGUGCAUCAUGGAAGCGCAUGUUAACAAGGUCCUGCGUUCAGUCAGUGCCAUCCUGCCUUUGGCUGUUCUCAGGGCUUUCAGAUUCAUAGGAGAACAUUUUCAGCUUGGCAGGGAGGAAGAUGCCCAUGACUUCUUAUGCUGUACUGUCAAUGCCAUGCAGAGAGCUUGUCUGAGUGCA